GAUGAAAGAACGUAGCGAAAUGCGAUAAGUAAUGCGAAUUGCAGAAUUCCAGUGAGUCAUCGAAUCUUUGAACGCACAUUGCGCCCUUUGGUAUUCCGAAGGGCAUGCCUGUUCGAGCGUCAUUAUCACCCCUCAAGCCUUCCGGCUUGGUGUUGGACGGCUUGGUGGCUGCUUUUCUAAGCGGUCACCCCUCCCAAAGACAAUGACGGCGGCCUCGUUGGACCCCCGGUACACUGAGUUCCUCACCGAACACGUACUGGACACAUGGAUUCACGGGACACGGUCUGCCUCCCCUCAGGGAGAACUUUUCUCAAGGUUGACCUCGGAUCAGGUAGGAAUACCCGCUGAACUUAAGCAUAUCAAUAAGCGGAGGA
rnacentral:misc_RNA from 1 species